GGGAGCUGAUCGUAAACUGAAGUCCCACUGUUGGAGGCAGAGGUGGGCGGACAAGUCUUACAAGAAGUCUCAUCUUGGUAAUGUAUGGAAAAAGCCAUUUUCAGGAUCAUCUCACGCCAAGGGGAUUGUUCUUGAGAAACUUGAUAUUGAAGCUAAGCAACCUAACUCUGCCAUUUGAAAGUGUGCUCGAGUUCAGUUGAUAAAGAAUGAGAAGAAGAUUGCUGCUUUGUACCCAAUGAUGGUUGUUUGAACUAC
rnacentral:misc_RNA from 1 species